rnacentral:pre_miRNA from 1 species
CAAAGACGAUGACGAUAACGAUGAUGAUGAUGAUGAUGAUGAUAACUAUCAUUAUCAUCAUCAUCAUCAUCGUCAUCAUCAGAA